UGAAUUGUUUAGUCUCCUCUCUAACAUCCUUUCAAAAAGAUUGAUAACCUCACUCCUACAAGUUAUAUUGGCAUUACUUUUUUUUUUUCUAACAAACUUACCUAAUUACAAAGCAUCUAUCAAAAACAUUGCUCUCACAUAAUAGUCUCAAUCUCGCAUUCAAGAAGGUAUUUUUUUUAAUGUUGAAAUAGAAUCUAGAACUUUAUUGACCCAAAGAAAAAGAAGUUAUCUAUAAAAAAGUUUUUCAUCAGAUCAUCGUCAUCGUACAGGAUAAUUAACUCUCAUUUAAAAGGACCUCAUUCUUCAGCAUUAAAUAGUCUACUGACACUUCAAAUCAAUAUUUGUUUAUUUUUUGAAGCCUCUUCGUUUUUUAUAAGCAAAAUGCGAAAGUUUGAGCUCAUUCCAAGUUCCUUCAUAUGUUUCUUCGUGUUAUUUCUUCUUUUGGAGUCCUCAACCUCAUCCUCAGGACUGGAUAAAAGGGCAACAUUACUACGAAGAGAUAUUCUUGGGAAUUGGUACACUUUGAUGAGAAACAACAUCAUUGAAGAAAAUAAUGAGAAUGAGAAGGACAUGGUUAAUGAGGAUGAAGAGCCUUAUGAGGUCGUCUCGAACGGAAGGAUGAUAGGCCAGAGAUCUAAUCAGGAAAGAAGGGACGAAGGAGAAGAAGAGAUAGUGGAGGGCAACAUGUUCCAAAAGAAA
rnacentral:lncRNA from 1 species